rnacentral:rRNA from 1 species
CCUACGGGAGGCAGCAGUGGGGAAUAUUGCACAAUGGGGGUAACCCUGAUGCAGCGACGCCGCGUGCGUGAGGAAGUAAUUAGUUAUGUAAAGCUCUAUCAGCAGGGAAGAAAAUGACGGUACGUGAGUAAGAAGCCCCGGCUAACUACGUGCCAGCAGCCGCGGUAAUACGUAGGGGGCAAGCGUUAUCCGGAUUUACUGGGUGUAAAGGGAGCGUAGACGGCAGUGCAAGUCUGGAGUGAAAGGCGGGGGCUCAACCCACGGACUGCUGUGGAAACUGGACGGCUGGAGUGCACGGAAGGUAAGUGGAAUUCGUGGUGUAGCGGUGAAAUGCGUAGAUAUUAGGAAGAACACCAGUGGCGAAGGCGGCAUACGGGACUGUAACUGACGUUGAGGCUCGAAAGCGUGGGGAGCAAACAGGAUUAGAUACCCGGGUAGUC